GCGGCUCCCUAUAUAAAGGACUUCCACCCUUCCUUGAGUCUCGAGUUCCCCAUUGACAUCCUGUGAGUAGGUGCGCCUCUAAAUGAUCUCAAAAAUAAUUAGUUACUGCUAUUUUAACUUAAGUAAAUAUGUCUGACUGUAUUGUUGUUUAAUGUCGGUAGUACUUCUAUGCUAUUCUGUUCAUGGAAUUAUUGCCUGAUGUUUACGUUUAGUUCAUGAAAAUCCCAGGCCUCAAUCAGCCACGUGUCUCAGUUUCAAAUGGCUGCAGUACCGAUGACUAUGGUUGCUACUUACCCAUGCACUAAUGAUGAUAUAAAUGUUGGUAGGGACAUCUGAGUUUUCAUUGAGGAUAUACCAACUUUUCUUCUUCUUGUCUGAUCACAUGGGAUUAACGCUCAAUGUAUUUCUUUCUCAUGGUGAGACAUCGGCCAUAACUAACUACUGCGUGUCUUAUUCCCUGCAGUGCCGCCAUGAUGUCGGCAAUGACUCCGUUUUCAGUCACUAGGUUAACCAGCCUGUGUUGGCUUUGUGAUGGGACUCGACCUUUUAAUGAAUCGGGUUUCAGUCACUAGAUGCUGAUAGUUAUCCAGAUGACAUGAUCGACAUCCAGAUGACUUGAUCGACUCCAAGAAUGGUGCUCAUCGUGUACCAUCCAUCCCCGGAUCGUUGAUGGAUCGGAAGUGGCAGAUGCCUCCCUGAAGUGCAGUCUCCCAAUAAACUAGAAAGCCUCGGGAUGUGCUUCGCAUUGCUUAUCGCAAGGCGAUGGGACUACUUGACUGGAGAGAUGCAGUUUACUUCUGAGCAUGAGGCGGUAGCGGUCAACUUGACUGGAGAGAUGCAGUUUACUCCUGAGCAUGAGGCGGUAGCGGUCAACUUGGUGGCUUGGUCUACUGCCGGUUCCAGAAAGCCUCCAUGGAGAAGAUGACUUGUAUCCUGCCCUUGAAAGCACCUCUAGCAAUAGUAAAAGGAGAAGAUGACUUGUAUCCUGCCCUUGAAAGCACCUCUAGAAAUAGUAAAAGGAUUUUGAGGAAGCGAAGGCCAUGUCAAAGGUGGAUGCCAAAUCGGAUUCAUUGGUUGAUUCUACUGGUGACUCAAGUCAACGCAGUGUUUCCCCGUAGACCAAUGUUUGGCGCAGCAGUGAAGUGCGGUUAUAGUUUAUACAUUACGAUGUUGGCCCCCCCAGGCCGUGAAUAGUGGAUCCAUUUGUCAAAAAGUUGAAAAAUGUUAAACUUUUUCGGCACCGACGGAUCCGUCAUCCAAUCAGAUCGCGUGUGCAAUGUCUCGGGCUCUUACGACCCCGGAAAGCUCCCCCAUCGCUCGACGUCCUUUGACUGACGGCGCAGUGGGCGUGAGGCGUUACCCCGCCACACAUUGUUACCUGGUCUGUGGGAAACGCUACAAAGAUUCAACAUGAAGUUGUGUUUAAUGUCAAUCCAUGGAUGGUACACUUCAUUGUUGGUGUUAGCAGCUGUUGUAUAUUUUAUGUGACUGUCAAUAAAAAAACUUUGAAGUGUCUUCUGCUUUUGCUUAUUAUCGUGUAUGGAAUGAUUGUAGCUGCUCAAAGGAUCAUUUUAGUUUACUUAAGGGCUGGGCUUUGCAACCAUUGCCUCGUAGUGCUAUAUGACGGCCUUUUUUUUAUAUCAGUUUUCAUGAUUAGAAGUCUGCCCUGUCGAUUCGACGGCAGCUCCAAGUGCGCGCCGGUUGUCUCACCGCAACGACAUGGCAUAAAUAAAAGGGA
ensembl:lncRNA